rnacentral:lncRNA from 1 species
CAAGACUAUAAUGGAUAUUGAUGAGGACGUUCGCAGGCUAGACAGAGUUAUCAUAGACCUCCAGUCCUCGAUUAAUUCCCUCACUAGGCAGCUCUCUAACCACAACACCAUUAUACUAGGCCUCAGGCAGGAUCUUGCCAGUGCCAAUAAGAAGAUUAAGGAAUUAGAGCGCCGGUAAGUUAUCUAGAUUAGACCUUGAGGUAAUGCAUCUUAGUCAUUUAUCUUUAAAUUCGGUUUAGGUUUACUAUUAUUGUCAGUUUGCUACUAUUAUCGUCAGUUUGCUACUAGUCAGUUGUAAUAAAUGUCUCAAGAUUAAUAAAGAGUAUUAUUAUUAUUAUUAUUAUUAUUAUUAUUAUUAUUAUUAUUAUUAUUAUUAUUAUUAUUAUUAUUAUUAUUAUUAUUAUUAUUAUUAUUAUUAUUAUUAUUAUUAUUAUUAUUAUUAUGUCUUGUGUGUCUCUACUUUACUUUUGUGCAAGAAAGCAAAAAACAAGUAUGGGGGAGAUCCCUCGACAUGCCAAACACACUUCGAUUACACCACUCCAUGAUUCAGGUACACAAUCUGCACACCUACUUUACACAUACACAUAUCUUGGAUUAUGCAGAAUACUAUUUCCGACAUGAUAAAUUAACAAGUUUAAAAUGUUUCUAAUCACGAUUAAUCUCACUCUGUGAUAUUUUCUGAAAACUUGAAAUCAUUGAAAAUUAUUUUAAAACCCUGUGUUACUUAAGUCAUUGUGGUAGAGUAUAAGUUUCUUAUUCUUGAUAUCAUUGUUGCUUGGAGAAUUUAUUUCAAAAUCUUCAAAAUUCUAGCUACCAUCCUCAGUGUUUUAUAUGCCUGAUAAAACUAAAAAUAUUAAUUAUGAUUAUAAAAGCUAUCUACUCUGUAUUGAGUUUGUUCAAAAUGAGUUAGACCCCUGUUGAGAGAUUUAUCAUGCUCCUAAGAUCAAGACAUUUAUUCAAAAAGAUUCACUCUUCCGAAGUAUUAUUGCAUUAGAGGCAUGGGCUAUGCAAAAAUAAAGAUAUUUCGAGGAAAUAAAAAGGAGCAAGUGCUCGACAACCUCGCGAGAAAAAUGGACAAGUGUUCGGCAGUAGAAUUAAGGGAACCUCGGUAUCCACUUAAAAAAAGAAGGAAAGGAAAAAGAAAAUGAUAGCCCAUGGUCCCUCUAAUAAGCAAUAUGCCAGCAAGAGUUGACAAAGAUUUUAAUUUCCAAAGUCUUUGAUCUAAGAGUAUGACAUUCCCCUCCUCAGAUCCCGUUUUGAUCAGGCAAUAAAUGCAAAGUAAGUUUGCUUGAGAAUUCACUACAAGAAUCCUGUGAUUUUUUGACUUUCUAUUUAUGUCAUUACAUAUGAAAAUAAUAUCACAACAUAAGAGUUGUGACAAUUAGUUGACAAAAAACUAUAUGUCAAAAAAUCACUGUCAUAAAUGGAUCAUGUGACAUCUGUAUAUUCUUUGUCAUAAGGUAUGACAUUGGUUAUUUGUCAUAAUAUCUGAGACCAUGAGCCAUUAGAGUGACGCGUCCAGCCAAAACGCAUCACUGAUGAACCUUUAUGAGUGACCCGUUCAGUCUAUACGCGUCACUGAUGAGCCUUUAUGAGUGACCUGUUCAGUCUAUACACGUCACCAAUGACUCCUUAACAGUGACGCAUACAGCCAAGACGCGUCACUGAUAACUAUUUACAGUGACUCGUUCAGCCAAGACGCGUCAUUGGUGCAGAUCUCAUCAGUAACGCAUUUUAUCAAAACGCGUCACUAAUGAUAAUUGAAAAAAAUAAAAAAAAAGAAAAAUCUCUAUAGCUAUCCUGUUUGUUCAGUACCUAUUCUUUACAAGGCUGCAGCAGUAGCACCAACAGAUCUAUACCUAUUCUUUACACAGCUGCAGCAGUAGCACCUGCAGAUCUAUCUCAUAAUACACAUGUUUCAUCCAAUCCAACAAUCAAAUCAUUUACAAGUAUGCUAUAAAGUAUCUUGCACAAGGAGCAGUGUGACCUAAAAGAUCUCUAACAGUACAUGGGCAGUGGCCUGCAGAUUUCUAACAGUACAUGAGGUAACUCCUCUAUGGUUUUUUCUUGAUGCACAAUACUUAUUAUUGCAAAGUAACAUGUAUAUAUCUAUGAAUAUUGCUAAAUGGCUAACAUAGACUUUCACAUGACAUGGUUUUAGAAUAAGGACUAGCUCAAGUUGCUUCUCCAAUUCCCGGUUUUGGCAAAUAGCUGGACACUCUGAUUGAUGGCCAGGAAGGCAUUCUACCUGCAAAAACUAUAAUCAAUUUCCCAGCAUAAGCACACAAAAGGACUAUGACAACAAAAAUAAAUGCUCAAGCCAUGCUAAAUAGGAAGAUUGCCAUAGCUACAUGUUAAUUAACCAUAUAACAGAAGCACUGUUAAAACAAAAAGAAAUACUCAGGCACUACAGAGGUUACAGCUAAUAACAUAAAUCACAAAGAGCAAGAACCUACAAGCUGCCAUGUAAAUAAAUAUCAAAGAAACAAAGGUUGCUAAUAAAUUCAUAUAUCUGAAACAACCACUAUUAGGUAAAACAGACAGAUCUCUCAGAUUCACAGUUCCCAACUCUAUAGUGGUCAUGAGCUUACCAUUAGUAGAUUGUGCAGCCACUAAUGCACAGGUGACAAAAUAGAACUCCAGCACAAUCUGAUUGUUGAAUGUUGUAGGCUAACAUGUAAAUUUAGCAUUGUAUAUCAUAUAUAGACAGUACAGUGAACCACUUAUUUAGAAGUUGCAUAUGUGAUGAGUAUAUUUAUCAUCAUAUCUUUAUUUAUAUAAUGCUAAGUGGUAUUAAUAUAUAAUAAUGCAACUUGUUAUGUUCGAUUGGAACUCAUCCAAGUAUUUAUCAUCAUAUUUUUUUGCAGUGACAGACUACUUACAUAUCAGCAUUUCCUCAAACAGAAUUAGGAUUAAAAAUUUAGAAAUACUGCAUGAAGAUUUUAAAAAAGGAACUGGACCUAGGGGAUGCUAAAAGCAUAGACAAAAAAUAGAAACCAUAAAAUGGCAUUGUUUUUGAAACCAAAUAAUCAUGGCAUUUGUACAAGGCCAUAGCAGGCAGAGGGAAAGUACCUUUGCAAUACGCUGCAGGCAAGCACAAUAGAAGUUACGAAGGUUCUAAUGAACAAUUAUGUUGUAUUGCUAUUUGAAAUGUUCUUCACCAAUGAACUAAGAAAAAAAGGCAGAAAAAUAUAUGGUUAGCUAGUAGGUACGAAUAGGCAUUUUCAUAGUACAGUCGAGGAUGCUCAAUAUACUAGAAACUUGUAUGCAGCAUGUCUAAAAAAACUGAAUACCUGGCUUCAGUCCAGGUAGAGCAACUAAAAGCAAUGACUUAAUCCUAACAGUAUCCAACUACUAUUAAGCAUCCAGUGCAAAGCAAUCUUCCAAGCCUAGUUGUUGCAUCAUGUAUUGAAGCACUAACACAAAAGAAAUUCAGAGCAAGACCAAAAUAACAUCAACUAAAUGGAGUGUUAUGCAUUUUAUUUGAACUACUAAUCUAUGAAUGGUUUCAGGAACGUGCCGCUGCAGUUCUUGUCGGGUUAACACUAGUACUUGCAUCAAAUCUAUGUAAACUCAGAAGUUAAAGCAACAUGUGUGCACACGUAAAGCUUCAAUCUGCAACUACAGAAACACUUCCUGCUUCCUCCUAUCAGUCCAGCAACCCCAAGCUAUUCUAAAUCAAGGUGCAUCGAUCAAUUAGGCGCUCGGGCCAUUACAAACUAUGCAGGCCAACAAUAAUGCAACAUUAUUACAGAAUGCAAUACCUUAGUUUGUCACAGAAGGCUGCUAGAAACAUGCCAUAUUGAAAGAAAAAUUGAACAUCCUAAGAACAAAAAAGCUUACCUCUCCCAGAUUUCAACACCCAUUGGAUAUAAAAUUGGAUAUUUAUGACCCAAUCUAACCUAAUCGAACCAGUCUAAAAAUAGAAAUAGGAAAACAAAUAUAACUAAAUAGAAAUUAUAACUUUGAUAAGAUUCAGAUUUAAUAAAUGAUAAAACAGGGCAUCAGUCUUAUAUAAUGAA